AAUAAGUGCAGCUAUAGAUAUCCGUGCCCAACGUUUAACCAUCUGUCUUAUUUAAAAAAUUUGUGAAAAAUUUGAAAAUAUUUAGUCACACAUAAAGUAUUAUUCAUGUUUUAUCAUCUAAUAGCAAUAAAAAUACUAAUCAUAAAAAAAAUUAAAUAAGACGAACGGUCAAACGUUAAACGUGAAUAGUGUAAAACUACACUUAUU
rfam:Oryza glaberrima chromosome 4 Oglab04_0272_1, whole genome shotgun sequence.